rnacentral:rRNA from 1 species
GACGAACGCUGGCGGCGUGCUUAACACAUGCAAGUCGAGCGGUAAGGCCCUUCGGGGUACACGAGCGGCGAACGGGUGAGUAACACGUGGGUGAUCUGCCUCGCACUUCGGGAUAAGCCUGGGAAACUGGGUCUAAUACCGGAUAUGACCUGCUGUCGCAUGGCGGUGGGUGGAAAGAUUUAUCGGUGCGAGAUGGGCCCGCGGCCUAUCAGCUUGUUGGUGGGGUAAUGGCCUACCAAGGCGACGACGGGUAGCCGGCCUGAGAGGGCGACCGGCCACACUGGGACUGAGACACGGCCCAGACUCCUACGGGAGGCAGCAGUGGGGAAUAUUGCACAAUGGGCGAAAGCCUGAUGCAGCGACGCCGCGUGAGGGAUGACGGCCUUCGGGUUGUAAACCUCUUUCGACAGGGACCAAGCGCAAGUGACGGUACCUGUAGAAGAAGCACCGGCCAACUACGUG